rnacentral:rRNA from 1 species
AUCUCCAAUAGCGUAUAUUAAAGUUAUUGCAGUUAAAAAGCUUGUAGUUGACUUUGUGGCUUGAAUGGCUUGGCCUCACACUUAUGAGUGAGUACCUGAGCCAUUACCAUCCUUGAGUGAAAACUGUGUGGUAUUAAGUUGUUGUGUAGGGGAUGCCAAUUAUUAACUGUGAAACAAUUAGAGCAUUCAAAGUAGACUUAUACUGUUGAAUGUAUUAGCAUGGAAUAAUGAUAUAGGACUUUAGUACUAUUUUGUUGGUUUGUACACAAAAAAAAUGAUUAAUAGGGACAAUUGGGGAUAUUAGUAUUUUUAGGUCAGAGGUGAAGUUCUUGGAUUCUUUAAAGACUGACUACUGCAAAAGCAUCUAUCAAGGAUGUUUUCA